rnacentral:rRNA from 1 species
GUCUGAUGGAGCAACGCCGCGUGAGUGAAGAAGGGUUUCGGCUCGUAAAACUCUGUUGUUAAAGAAGAACAUAUCUGAGAGUAACUGUUCAGGUAUUGACGGUAUUUAACCAGAAAGCCACGGCUAACUACGUGCCAGCAGCCGCGGUAAUACGUAGGUGGCAAGCGUUGUCCGGAUUUAUUGGGCGUAAAGCGAGCGCAGGCGGUUUUAAGUUCUGAUGUGAAAGCCUUCGGCUCAACCGAAGAAAGUGCAUCGGAAACUGGGAAACUUGAGUGCAGAAGAGGACAGUGGAACUCCAUGUGUAGCGGUGAAAUGCGUAGAUAUAUGGAAGAACACCAGUGGCGAAGGCGGCUGUCUGGUCUGUAACUGACGCUGAGGCUCGAAAGUAUGGGUAGCAAACAGGAUUAGAUACCCUGGUAG